rnacentral:rRNA from 1 species
CCUACGGGAGGCAGCAGUGGGGAAUUUUGGACAAUGGGCGAAAGCCUGAUCCAGCCAUGCCGCGUGCAGGAUGAAGGCCUUCGGGUUGUAAACUGCUUUUGUACGGAACGAAAAGACUCUGGUUAAUACCUGGGGUCCAUGACGGUACCGUAAGAAUAAGCACCGGCUAACUACGUGCCAGCAGCCGCGGUAAUACGUAGGGUGCAAGCGUUAAUCGGAAUUACUGGGCGUAAAGCGUGCGCAGGCGGUUAUAUAAGACAGAUGUGAAAUCCCCGGGCUCAACCUGGGAACUGCAUUUGUGACUGUAUAGCUAGAGUACGGUAGAGGGGGAUGGAAUUCCGCGUGUAGCAGUGAAAUGCGUAGAUAUGCGGAGGAACACCGAUGGCGAAGGCAAUCCCCUGGACCUGUACUGACGCUCAUGCACGAAAGCGUGGGGAGCAAACAGGAUUAGAUACCCUGGUAGUCCACGCCCUAAACGAUGUCAACCGGUUGUUGGGUCUUCACUGACUCAGUAACGAAGCUAACGCGUGAAGUUGACCGCCUGGGGAGUACGGCCGCAAGGUUGAAACUUCAAAUUGAAUUGACGGCUUGAGACGNGCGAGCGACGACGAGGGAGAGG